rnacentral:misc_RNA from 1 species
AAGUCGUAACAAGGUUUCCGUAGGUGAACCUGCGGAAGGAUCAUUAUCGAGUUAGGGUUCCUCUCACGGGCCCGAUCUCCCAACCCUGUGUCUACCACACCUUGUCGUUGCUUCGGCGGACCGGUCCCUUCGACCGCCGGGGGUGCUUUGCCUCCUGGAGCGUGUCCGCCGAUGGCCCAACCACACAAAACUCUUGGUACAAAACCCUGUCGUCUGAAGCACUUGAUAUAUAAUCAACACAAAACUUUCAACAACGGAUCUCUUGGUUCUG